GAUUCCAUGGUAUAAUAGUUAGCACUCGGGACUUUGAAUCCAGUGAUCUGAGUUCAAAUCUUGAUGGAACCU
rfam:Danio rerio chromosome 4, GRCz11 reference primary assembly.